rnacentral:rRNA from 1 species
CUUGACCUCAAAUCAGGUAGGAUUACCCGCUGAACUUAAGCAUAUCAAUAAGCGGAGGA